rfam:Erinaceus europaeus unplaced genomic scaffold scaffold00182, whole genome shotgun sequence
AUCUGAGGGUAAUCUGGUGGUGACAUCUGUCACCCCAUGGACUGCCAAGAUUGAUUCAGCUGAUCUGGCUGACUGGGCUGGUAUAACCUUCCUCUCUCACUACUCUAUGUGUGACCCUCCCAAAGCUGCACACUCGGUCAAAGAUCUUCCCUGAAUCUUCGAAUCCCCAGACUUCCCCAGUCUUCAGUUGAGGGUAUAAGAGUAGCUGCGCUCCCCUGUCAGAACAUCCCUCAGGAUAGUACUGUCUUAUGAUCCUGCAAUACCACUCCCAGGCUUU